rnacentral:rRNA from 1 species
UGAGUACGAGAUGCUACGGCAUCGAAGCAGUCUAUGUCAUACUUCCAAGAAAAGCUUGCAAUGUCAUAAACAAAUAAUGCCUGUACCAUAACCGACACAGGUGGGUAGGUAGAGUAUACUAAGGGGCGCGAGAUAACUCUCUCUAAGGAACUCGGCAAAAUGACUCCGUAACUUCGGGAGAAGGAGUGCCUUAUUUUUAUAAGGUUGCAAUAACAAGAUCCAAGCAACUGUUUACCAAAAACACAGGUCUCCGCUAAGUCGUAAGACGAUGUAUGGGGGCUGACGCCUGCCCAGUGCCAGAAGGUUAAAGAAGUUGGUUAGCAUUAGCGAAGCUGAUAACUGAAGCCCUGGUGAACGGCGGCCGUAACGAUAACGGUCCUAAGGUAGCGAAAUUCCUUGUCGGGUAAGUUCCGACCCGCACGAAAGGCGUAAUGAUUUGGAUACUGUCUCGGAGAGGGGCUCGGUGAAAUAGACUUGUCUGUGAAGAUGCGGACUACCUGCACCUGGACAGAAAGACCCUAUGAAGCUUUACUGUAACUUGAGGUUGAAAUUGGACUUUAUCUGCGCAGUAUAGGUGGGAGACGUUGAAAAUAUUCUUGCGGGAAUAUUGGAGUCAUCAGUGAGAUACCACUCUUAUAAUGUUAGAUUUCUAACUUUGUAUCAUUAUCUGGUCAAAGAACAGUUUCAGGCGGGCAGUUUGACUGGGGCGGUCGCCUCCCAAACGGUAACGGAGGCGCACAAAGGUUUCCUCUGAACGUGUAGAAAUCGUAUCUAGAGUGUAAAGGCAUAAGGAAGCUUGACUGUGAGACCUACAAGUCGAGCAGGGACGAAAGUCAGUCUUAGUGAUCUGACGGUGCUGAGUGGAAAGGCCGUCACUCAACGGAUAAAAGUUACUCUAAGGAUAACAGGCUGAUCUCCCCCAAGAGUUCACAUCGACGGGGAGGUUUGGCACCUCGAUGUCGGCUCAUCGCAUCCUGGGGCGGUAGUACGUCCCAAGGGUUGGGCUGUUCGCCCAUGAAAGCGGUACGCGAGCUGGGUUCAGAACGUCGUGAGACAGUUCGGUCCAUAUCCGGUGUAGGCGUUAGAAUAUUGAGAGGAGCCUUCUUUAGUACGAGAGGACCGAGAAGGACAUACCUCUGGUGUACCAGUUAUCGUGCCAACGGUAAACGCUGGGUAGCCAUGUAUGGAGAGGAUAACCGCUGAAAGCAUCUAAGUGGGAAGCCCACCUCAAGAUAAG